rnacentral:rRNA from 1 species
GUGGGGAAUAUUGCACAAUGGGGGAAACCCUGAUGCAGCGACGCCGCGUGAGUGAAGAAGUAUUUCGGUAUGUAAAGCUCUAUCAGCAGGAACGAGACAAGACGGUACCUGACUAAGAAGCCCCGGCUAACUACGUGCCAGCAGCCGCGGUAAUACGUAGGGGGCAAGCGUUAUCCGGAAUCACUGGGUGUAAAGGGAGCGUAGACGGCUGAGCAAGCCUGAAGUGAAAGGCGGGGGCCCAACCCCCGGACUGCUUUGGGAACUGUACGGCUGGAGUGCAGGAGAGGUAAGUGGAAUUCCUAGUGUAGCGGUGAAAUGCGUAGAUAUUAGGAGGAACACCAGUGGCGAAGGCGACUUACUGGACUGUAACUGACGUUGAGGCUCGAAAGCGUGGGGAGCAAACAGG